rnacentral:rRNA from 1 species
UAACGAGCGCAACCCUUACCGUUAGUUGCCAUCGGGUCAAGCCGGGGACUCUAGCGGGACUGCCACCGUAAGGUGAGAGGAAGUGGGGAUGACGUCAAAUCAGCACGGCCCUUAUGUCCAGGGCUACACACGUGUUACAAUGGCCGGUACAGAGGGCAGCUACCUGGUGACAGGAUGCUAAUCCCGAAAGCCGGUCCCAGUUCGGAUUGGAGUCUGCAACCCGACUCCAUGAAGUUGGAUUCGCUAGUAAUCGCGCAUCAGCCAUGGCGCGGUGAAUACGUUCCCGGGCCUU